UACGAAGGUGGCAAGCGUUACUCGGAAUUACUAGGCGUAAAGGGCAGGUAGGCGGUUCGGUUAGUCUGUUGUGAAAGCUCCUUGCUUAACGGGGAGAGGCCAACAGAUACUGCCGAGCUUGAGUAUAGGAGAGGGUACUGGAAUUCCCGGUGUAGCGGUGAAAUGCGCAGAGAUCGGGAGGAACACCAAUGGCGAAAGCAGGUACCUGGACUAUUACUGACGCUCAGCUGCGAAAGCUAGGGGAGCAAACAGG
rnacentral:rRNA from 1 species